rnacentral:rRNA from 1 species
UACGUAGGGUGCAGGCGUUAAUCGGAAUUACUGGGCGUAAAGCGUGCGCAGGCGGUCUUUUAAGUCAGAUGUGAAAUCCCCGGGCUUAACCUGGGAACUGCGUUUGAAACUGGAAGGCUAGAGUGUGGCAGAGGGGGGUGGAAUUCCACGUGUAGCAGUGAAAUGCGUAGAGUAUGUGGAGGAACACCGAUGGCGAAGGCAGCCCCCUGGGCUAAUACUGACGCUCAUGCACGAAAGCGUGGGGAGCAAACAGG